rnacentral:lncRNA from 1 species
GGGACAUGGGGUCACGUGGGAUGACGUGGGGUGACGUGGGGUCACAUGGGGUCACAUGGGGUCACAUGGGUGCUAUGGGGUGACAUGGGGUGACAUGGGGUCAUAUGGGGUGACAUGGGGUGACAUGGGGUCACAUGGGGUCACAUGGGGUCAUAUGGGGUGACAUGGGGUGACAUGGGGUGAUGUGGGGUCACACGGGUGAGAAGUGGCAGCUGAUGGGUGAUGGAUUACAUGGCUGACAUGGAUGGCAGCGCACACAGACCCCAUAGGCGCCCCACAGCACCCACAGAGCCCAAAGGGACCCCACAGACCCCAUAGGUGCCCCAUAGCACCCAUAGGCACCCCAUAGCACCCACAGACCCCAAAGGAACCCCACAGACCCCAUAGGGACCCCACAGACCCCAAAGGUGCCCCAUAGCACCCAUAGGCGCCCCACAGCACCCACAGACCCCAAAGGGACCCCACAGACCCCAUAG